GGGAAAAUUCCUUCCAUAAUGGCCUUGUAAAACACACUUUAUUACUCAAAAGCUACAUGUAAGCAGCCAAAAUUGGCUGUAUGAUGCAUUGGCUCUGCGA
rnacentral:lncRNA from 1 species